UACGGAGGAUGCGAGCGUUAUCCGGAUUUAUUGGGUUUAAAGGGUGCGUAGGCGGAUUGUUAAGUCAGUUGUGAAAGUUUGCGGCUCAACCGUAAAAUUGCAGUUGAAACUGGCAGUCUUGAGUACAGUAGAGGUGGGCGGAAUUCGUGGUGUAGCGGUGAAAUGCUUAGAUAUCACGAAGAACUCCGAUUGCGAAGGCAGCUCACUAGACUGCAACUGACACUGAUGCUCGAAAGUGUGGGUAUCAAACAGG
rnacentral:rRNA from 1 species